AGUGGGCGUGCAGGAGAAGCUGUAGGUCAGGAGGUAGAGUUGGCAGUGGGCGUGCAGGAGAAGCUGUAGGUCGGAGAGGUAGAGGUGGCAGUGGGCGUGCAGGAGAAGCUGUAGGUCAGGGGGUAGAGGUGGCAGUGGGCGUGCAGGAGAAGCUGUAGGUCAGAGUGGAUAGGUGGCAGUGGGCGUGCAGGAGAAGCUGUAGGUCAGGAGGUAGAGGUGGCAGUGGGCGUGCAGGAGAAGCUGUAGGUCAGGAGGUAGAGGUGGCAGUGGGCGUGCAGGAGAAGCUGUAGGUCAGGAGGUAGAGUUGGCAGUGGGCGUGCAGGAGAAGCUGUAGGUCGGAGAGGUAGAGGUGGCAGUGGGCGUGCAGGAGAAGCUGUAGGUCGGGAGGUAGAGGUGGCAGUGGGCGUGCAGGAGAAGCUGUAGGUCAGAGUGGAGAGGUGGCAGUGGGCGUGCAGGAGAAGCUGUAGGUCGGGAGGUAGAGGUGGCAGUGGGCGUGCAGGAGAAGCUGUAGGUCAGGGGGUAGAGGUGGCAGUGGGCGUGCAGGAGAAGCUGUAGGUC
rnacentral:lncRNA from 1 species